GCACGGCGCGGGUCUGGCGCUGCUUGCACAAAGGGGCUGCGCGGAGGAAAUGGCGGCCGUGGGGGCUGAGGGUGGUGGCAAAAUGGAGGAGACAGCGGCGGCGGCGGCUAACGGGGCAGGCGGCGCCGGGGACGGGCCCCCUAAGAGCUUCUGAGGAUUAGAGCACCUCUUGAAAAAUCCCCCCUUGGUCGCUUCCUUAUCUGGCAGAGGCACUCCACUGGUGUGUAGGGAAGGGCCCCGAAGGCCGCAUGUGCAGAAGCACAAGAAACAUACAGAAUCAUGAUUGUUAGUGCAUGCGCCACAUCAAAUCAUUAGAGUAAAAUGCACCCCCUUUUUUCUUUUUCCUUUACAUAAUCAGUUUCUCACUGUCCCUUGGCAAGCUCACAGCUUCAGUGAACACCCUAAACAUGUGACGGUGAACGACCAAGCCAGAAUGAAAAAAGGAAAGAGAAAAGUGUCAAAAGAGGGGGAAAUCGUUUUGAGCCAUAUGCCAACCCUGCUAAAAGAUAUCGAGCUUUUAUCACAAAUAUUCCAUUUGAUGUGAAGUGGCAAUCUCUCAAAGACCUGGUCAAAGAGAAAGUUGGUGAGGUAACAUACGUGGAGCUCUUAAUGGACGCUGAAGGAAAGUCAAGGGGAUGCGCUGUUGUUGAAUUUAAGAUGGAAGAAAGCAUGAAGAAGGCUGCCGAGGUUCUGAACAAGCAUAGUCUCAGUGGAAGACCUCUGAAAGUGAAAGAAGAUCCUGAUGGCGAGCAUGCCAGAAGAGCAAUGCAGAAGGCCAUGGCAGCAGCUGGUGGCAUGGGUAUUGGCCCAGGACCAGGAGGCCCUGGAAUGAUCAACAUACCACCCAGCAUUCUCAAUAAUCCCAACAUACCCAAUGAGAUUAUCCAUGCUUUACAGGCUGGGAGACUUGGAAGUACAGUAUUUGUUGCAAAUGUAAGUACGGUGUGAUGUCUGG